UACGGAGGAUGCGAGCGUUAUCCGGAUUUAUUGGGUUUAAAGGGUGCGCAGGCGGCACGGCAAGCCGGCGGUCAAAUCGCGGGGCUCAACCCCGCCCAGCCGUCGGAACUGCCGGGCUAGAGUGGGUGAGAAGUGCGCGGAAUGCGUGGUGUAGCGGUGAAAUGCAUAGAUAUCACGCAGAACUCCGAUUGCGAAGGCAGCGCACCGGCGCCCUACUGACGCUCAGGCACGAAAGCGUGGGUAUCGAACAGG
rnacentral:rRNA from 1 species